GACAGAGGGUGCAAACGUUGCUCGGAAUUACUGGGCGUAAAGCGCGUGUAGGUGGAUUGGUGUGUCAGAUGUGAAAUCCCUGGGCUCAACCCAGGAACUGCACCUGAAACUACCAGUCUUGAGUGGUGGAGAGGGGAGUGGAAUUCCUGGUGUAGAGGUGAAAUUCGUAGAUAUCAGGAGGAACACCGGUGGCGAAGGCGGUGGUCUGGGCCGGCACUGACGCUGAGGAGCGAAAGCGUGGGGAGCGAACAGG
rnacentral:rRNA from 1 species